rnacentral:rRNA from 1 species
UACGUAGGGGGCAAGCGUUGUCCGGAUUUAUUGGGCGUAAAACGCUCGUAGGUGGCCAUGUCAAGUCGGAUGUGAAAUCUCCCGGCUCAACUGGGAGGGGUCAUUCGAUACUGGCAGGCUCGAGGCCGGUAGGGGGAAGCGGAAUUCCGGGUGUAGUGGUGAAAUGCGUAGAGAUCCGGAGGAACCCCAGAGGCGAAGGCGACGCCCUGGCUCGUACCUGACGCUCAGCCACGAAAGCAUGGGGAGCGAACGGG